rnacentral:rRNA from 1 species
GACGAACGCUGGCGGCGUGCUUAAUACAUGCAAGUCGAACGGACCGAUUACGGUCGUUUACUACUGGGGAUGGCUAGUGGCGGAUGGGUGAGUAAUGCGUGGGCAAUCUGCCCCUCAGUCCGGGCUAACAGAGCGAAAGUUUUGUUACGACCGGAUUCUUUUACCUCGCCGUUCGGUUGGUAAAGGAAAGCGAACGCUUAGGGAUGAGUUCGUGCCCCAUUCGCUAGUUGGUGAGGUAACGCGCCACGAAGGCAACGAUGGGUAGCCGGCCUGCGAGGGUGGGCGGCCACACUUAGACGAGGACACAGCACAGACUCCUACGGGAGGCAGCAGUAGGGAAUGGUCGACAAUCGGCGAAGGGCUGACCGAGCAACGCCGCGUGAGGGACGAAGGUCUGCAAGUCGAAAACCGUAAGCAUCGAGGACGAUAAUGACGGUACUCGAGGAGAAAGCCCCGGCUAACUACGUG